AAACCAACAGGGAUUGCCUUAGUAGCGGCGAGUGAAGCGGCAAUAGCUCAAAUUUGAAAUCUGGCGUCUUCGGCGUCCGAGUUGUAAUUUGAAGAAGGUAACUUUGAGGCUGGCUCUUGUCUAUGUUCCUUGGAACAGGACGUCACAGAGGGUGAGAAUCCCGUGCGAUGAGAUGUCCAGCUUCGUGUAAAGUGCUUUCGACGAGUCGAGUUGUUUGGGAAUGCAGCUCUAAGUGGGUGGUAAAUUCCAUCUAAAGCUAAAUAUUGGCGAGAGACCGAUAGCGAACAAGUACUGUGAAGGAAAGAUGAAAAGAACUUUGAAAAGAGAGUGAAAAAGUACGUGAAAUUGUUGAAAGGGAAGGGCUUGAGGUCAGACUUGGUUUACCAGGCCAGCAUCAGUUUGGAUGGCAGGAUAAUAGCGAAGGAAUGUGGCUCGGUUUCGGCCGUGUGUUAUAGUCUUCGUUGAUACUGCCUGUCUAGACUGAGGACUGCGUCUUUGACUAGGAUGCUGGCAUAAUGACCUUAAGCCGC
rnacentral:rRNA from 1 species